rnacentral:rRNA from 1 species
CCUACGGGAGGCAGCAGUGGGGAAUCUUGCGCAAUGGGCGAAAGCCUGACGCAGCCAUGCCGCGUGAAUGAUGAAGGUCUUAGGAUUGUAAAAUUCUUUCACCGGGGACGAUAAUGACGGUACCCGGAGAAGAAGCCCCGGCUAACUUCGUGCCAGCAGCCGCGGUAAUACGAAGGGGGCUAGCGUUGCUCGGAAUUACUGGGCGUAAAGGGCGCGUAGGCGGAUCGUUAAGUCAGAGGUGAAAUCCCAGGGCUCAACCCUGGAACUGCCUUUGAUACUGGCGCUCUUGAGUAUGAGAGAGGUAUGUGGAACUCCGAGUGUAGAGGUGAAAUUCGUAGAUAUUCGGAAGAACACCAGUGGCGAAGGCGACAUACUGGCUCAUUACUGACGCUGAGGCGCGAAAGCGUGGGGAGCAAACAGGAUUAGAUACCCUGGUAGUCCACGCCGUAAACGAUGAUUGCUAGUUGUCGGGCUGCAUGCAGUUCGGUGACGCAGCUAACGCAUUAAGCAAUCCGCCUGGGGAGUACGGUCGCAAGAUUAAAACUCAAAUGAAUUGACGGGG